rnacentral:rRNA from 1 species
CAUGGUACAAUCGGGAAAGGAGCAAUUCGCUAAAAGAUGGCCUUGCGUCUGAUUAGAUAGUUGGUGGGGUAACGGCCUACCAAGUCGACGAUCAGUAGCCGGACUGAGAGGUUGAACGGCCACAUUGGGACUGAGAUACGGCCCAGACUCCUACGGGAGGCAGCAGUCGGGAAUAUUGCGCAAUGGAGGAAACUCUGACGCAGUGACGCCGCGUAUAGGAAGAAGGUUUUCGGAUUGUAAACUAUUGUCGUUAGGGAAGAGAAAGGACAGUACCUAAGGAGGAAGCUCCGGCUAACUACGUGCCAGCAGCCGCGGUAAUACGUAGGGAGCGAGCGUUAUCCGGAAUUAUUGGGUGUAAAGGGUGCGUAGACGGGAAGAUAAGUUAGUUGUGAAAUCCCUCGGCUUAACUGAGGAACUGCAACUAAAACUGUUUUUCUUGAGUGCAGGAGAGGUAAGUGGAAUUCCUAGUGUAGCGGUGAAAUGCGUAGAUAUUAGGAGGAACACCAGUGGCGAAGGCGACUUACUGGACUGUAACUGACGUUGAGGCACGAAAGUGUGGGGAGCAAACAGGAUUAGAUACCCUGGUAGUCCACACCGUAAACGAUGGAUACUAGGUGUAGGAGAUAUUAAGUCUUCUGUGCCGUCG